rnacentral:lncRNA from 1 species
AUGCUGUGCUGGGACACCACUCAAUGGCUCCUGGGCUGCAGCAGUGGCAAGUGGCUGAAUGAAUGGGUGGCCAGGGGGCUGAGUGGGGACUGGCAGCUCCCCUGGCACCCAAAUCCUUUAAGAUCCCCCUGCCUUUGUCCCUGGUGGGCACAGGCUGGGAGCAGAAUUGCCCUUUUCACCUGGAACAGCCUCAAAUCUGCAGCCUGGGGCUGGGAAUUGUCAACCCACCCUGGAGCUGCCCCGUGGCAAAGGAGUCUGGGCUGCAGGGAAAUCAGAUUUACCCCCGGGGAAGAGCGGGAGGAGCAGGGGGGUGAGCCAGGGUUUGAUGCUCUGGAGAGAAAACUGGAGCUGCCAGGGGGCAGAGGGACCCAGAGGGGAGAGUUUCCUGUCUGGUUUGUGGGACUGAGUGCUGGCAGGAUGGGCAGAGGUGCCUGCAGGCUCUGGGGGCAGUGCAGGGUGUCCCCAGCUGUCCCUGUCCCCAGGCUGGCUGUGGGGACACUGAGGGGGGCACUUCAGGGAGCCAGGGGGGCACAGCCCAGAGCUGGGAUUCCUUUGAGCCCCAGGAAACUCAGGCUUUGGUUUCUGCUGCUUUUGUGGUGUACAGCCAUGGCUGAACAUCCCUGCCGGGCUCAGCCGCGGAUCUGGGGGCACUUCUCCAAACCCUGGGACAGCCACAGCUUUGGGGACACCUGUCAGAGCUUUGGGGACCACCUCCCACAGAUCUGGGGCAGUCACAGCUUUGGGGGCACCUCCCAGAACUCUGGGACAGUCACAGCUUUGGGGACACUUCCCAGAGCUCUGGGACAGUCACAGCUUUGGGGACACCUCCCCACAGAUCUGGGACAGUCACAGCUUUGGGGGCACCUCCCAGAACUCUGGGACAGUCACAGCUUUGGGGACACUUCCCAGAGCUCUGGGACAGUCACAGCUUUGGGGACACCUCCCACAGAUCUGGGGCAGUCACAGCUUUGGGGACACCUGUCAGAGCUCUGGGACCACCUCCCACAGAUCUGGGACAGUCACAGCUUUGGGGGCACCUCCCAGAACUCUGGGUCCCCCUCAGAAGGAGCAGAGCAGGGACAAGGGACAGCCACAGCUUUGGGGAUGUCCCUCAGAGCUCUGGGUCAAUCACAGAUUUGGGGACACCUCCCACAAUUCUGGGUCAGUCACAGCUUUGGGGACACUUCCCAGAGCUCUGGGUCCCCCUUGUGA